GAUGAACGCUGGCGGCGUGCCUAAUACAUGCAAGUCGAGCGAACAGACGAGGAGCUUGCUCCUCUGACGUUAGCGGCGGACGGGUGAGUAACACGUGGAUAACCUACCUAUAAGACUGGGAUAACUUCGGGAAACCGGAGCUAAUACCGGAUAAUAUAUUGAACCGCAUGGUUCAAUAGUGAAAGACGGUUUUGCUGUCACUUAUAGAUGGAUCCGCGCCGCAUUAGCUAGUUGGUAAGGUAACGGCUUACCAAGGCGACGAUGCGUAGCCGACCUGAGAGGGUGAUCGGCCACACUGGAACUGAGACACGGUCCAGACUCCUACGGGAGGCAGCAGUAGGGAAUCUUCCGCAAUGGGCGAAAGCCUGACGGAGCAACGCCGCGUGAGUGAUGAAGGUCCUCGGAUCGUAAAACUCUGUAAUUAGGGAAGAACAAAUGUGUAAGUAACUAUGCACGUCUUGACGGUACCUAAUCAGAAAGCCACGGCUAACUACGUG
rnacentral:rRNA from 1 species